rnacentral:rRNA from 1 species
CCCGCUGAACUUAAGCAUAUCAAUAAGCGGAGGAAAAGAAACUAACAAGGAUUCCCCUAGUAACUGCGAGUGAAGCGGGAAAAGCUCAAAUUUAAAAUCUGGUAGUCUUUGGCUGCCCGAGUUGUAAUCUAGAGAAGUGCUAUCCGCGUUGGACCGUGUACAAGUCUCCUGGAAUGGAGCGUCAUAGAGGGUGAGAAUCCCGUCUUUGGCACGGACUACCAGGGCUUUGUGAUGCGCUCUCAAAGAGUCGAGUUGUUUGGGAAUGCAGCUCUAAAUGGGUGGUAAAUUCCAUCUAAAGCUAAAUAUUGGCGAGAGACCGAUAGCGAACAAGUACCGUGAGGGAAAGAUGAAAAGAACUUUGGAAAGAGAGUUAAACAGUACGUGAAAUUGUUGAAAGGGAAACGCUUGAAGUCAGUCGCGUUGGCCAGGGAUCAACCUUGCUUUUUCUGCUUGGUGUACUUUCUGGUUGAUGGGUCAGCAUCAAUUUUGACCAGUGGAAAAAGGUCAGGGGAAUGUGGCAUCUUUGGAUGUGUUAUAGCCCUUGGUUGCAUACAUUGGUUGGGAUUGAGGAACUCAGCACGCCGCAAGGCCGGGUAACUAUUACCACGAUCGUGCUUAGGAUGCUGGCAUAAUAGCUUUAAUCGACCCGUCUUGAAACACGG